UACGUAGGGUGCAAGCGUUAAUCGGAAUUACUGGGCGUAAAGCGUGCGCAGGCGGUUGUGUAAGACAGAUGUGAAAUCCCCGGGCUCAACCUGGGAACUGCAUUUGUGACUGCACAGCUGGAGUGCGGCAGAGGGGGAUGGAAUUCCGCGUGUAGCAGUGAAAUGCGUAGAUAUCGUGAGGAAGACCAGUGGCGAAGGCGGAUCUCUGGACAGUUCCUGACGCUGAGGCGCGAAGGCCAGGGGAGCAAACGGG
rnacentral:rRNA from 1 species